rnacentral:rRNA from 1 species
UGCCCCACAGCUAGCCCACACCCCCCCCCCCCCAACAAACAACCAUUAAUACCCACUAACAACCUUAAGACAAGAGUUAAACCAAACCAUUUUUCCCCCUUAGUAUGGGCGACAGAAAAG